UUGUAACUUGCAACCACUCCUAAUUCAUCUGGAUACAUUCCACGGUUAGAAUUGCGACUUCCUCUCCUAAUUUUGGCACGAAAUGUUACCUGGCCAGCAGGAACAUUGAGAUCCCCUGUUAGUUUCACUGCCUCUACAUACUCAAAGAAUUCCACAUCUGAGGACUUGUCAUCCACACCAUUCCAAUGACCAAACUUACGCCUCAAUUGUACUACCUCUGUUCCAUA
rnacentral:misc_RNA from 1 species